rnacentral:rRNA from 1 species
UCAGACGAUGCGUCAUGCAUAUCAAUAAGCGGAGGAAAAGAAACUAACAAGGAUUCCCUCAGUAACGGCGAGUGAAGCGGGAAGAGCUCAAAUUUGAAAUCCUGAAAGGUCACCUUUCACGAAUUGUAGUUUAAAGAAGUGUUUUCUGUUACGAUCGUAAUAUAAGUUCUUUGGAAUAGGACAUCACAGAGGGUGAGAAUCCCGUCUAUGAUUGCGAUUUGUAGCUUUGUGAUACACUUUCAAAGAGUCGGGUUGUUUGGGAAUGCAGCCCAAAACGGGAGGUAAAUUUCUUCUAAGGCUAAAUAUUGGCGAGAGACCGAUAGCGAACAAGUACCGUGAGGGAAAGAUGAAAAGAACUUUGAAAAGAGAGUUAAAUAGUACGUGAAAUUGUCAAAAGGGAAGCGUUUAACACCAGUGUUGUUUUCUGAAAAUCAACCUCUGUUAGCUUUAUGCAUGUUUGUUUAGACCUAAUCAGCUAUCUUGCAUGUUCUAUUGUUUGCAGUGGUGCACUUUUCAGUUUACAGGUCAACAUCAGUUUUUUUUACCGUAAAAAAGUUAAAGAAAGGUAGCUCAUGGCUCCGGUCGUGAGUGUUAUAGUCUUUUUCCUAUGCGGUAGGAGAGACUGAGGUCUGCAGUGUAGGCUAUUUGGCUAGAUACUCAGGUGCUAUGUGAUAUCAUUUCAUAAACAACUUGUUGAUUAUGUUUUGUCUAUUGCAUACUCGCUUGUACUAUCAUACCUACGCUUAGGAUGUUGAAGACUCUACAGAGAU